rnacentral:rRNA from 1 species
UACAGGGGGGGGCAAGCGUUGUUCGGAAUUACUGGGCGUAAAGGGUCUGUAGGUGGCCAACUAAGUCAGACGUGAAAUCCCUCAGCUUAACUGGGGAACUGCGUCUGAUACUGGAUGGCUUGAGUGUGGGAGAGGAAUGCGGAAUUCCAGGUGUAGCGGUGAAAUGCGUAGAUAUCUGGAGGAACACCGGUGGCGAAGGCGACAUCCUGGACCGGUAUUGACGCUGAGGCGCGAAAGCCAGGGGAGCAAACGGGAUUA